rnacentral:sRNA from 1 species
CACACUCCCGAGUCCUGCUUUAUUGAGGCAGCUAUCCAGGAGCUCAAGACUCGGGAAGAGGCUCUGUCGGGAUUGGCUGGAAGCAGAAGGGAGGUCACUGGUGUUGUGGCUGCUCUGGAACAACUGGUGCUGAUGGCUCCCUUGGCGAAGGAGUCUGUUUUUCAACCCAGGAAGGUUAGUGUGUUCCUGUUACUAAGUGGCUGCCGUUCCUCAAAUGCUGUCAUUGAGCUGGUAGGCAUUACUGUGAGAUCUAAACCUUCUCAAGAGAAGAGGGGACAAUGAGUAUUUUCUGUAUGCUUGUUAUUAGUUCUUUCCUAAGGGGUGUUAA